GACGAACGCUGGCGGCGUGCUUAACACAUGCAAGUCGAACGGAAAGGCCCCCAUCUUGGUGGGGGUGCUCGAGUGGCGAACGGGUGAGUAACACGUGGGUGAUCUGCCCUGUACUUCGGGAUAAGCUUGGGAAACUGGGUCUAAUACCGGAUAGGACCAUGGUUUAGUGUCUCAUGGUGGAAAGAUUAUUUUUUUGGUGCAGGAUGAGCUCGCGGCCUAUCAGCUUGUUGGUGGGGUAAUGGCCUACCAAGGCGUCGACGGGUAGCCGGCCUGGGAGGGUGGACGGCCAGAUUGGGACUGAGAGACGGCCCAGACUCGUACGGGAGGCAGCAGUGGGGAAUAUUGCUCAAUGGGAGCAAGCCUGAUGCAGCGACGCCGCGUGAGGGAUGACGGCCUUCGGGUGGUAAACUCCUUUCGUUAGGAACGAAGCCGCACUUUUUUUGGGUGUGGUGACGGUACCUUUGUGAAGAAGCACCGGCUAACUACGUG
rnacentral:rRNA from 1 species